ACCAGGCACAGUGGCUCAUGCCUGUAAUCCCAGCACUUUGGGAGGCCGUGGUGGUUGGAUCUCAAGGUCAGGAGAUUGAGACCACCCUGACUAACAUAGUGAAACCCCGUCUCUACUAAUAAUACNNNNNNNNNNGUAUUAUUAGUAGAGACGGGGUUUCACUAUGUUAGUCAGGGUGGUCUCAAUCUCCUGACCUUGAGAUCCAACCACCACGGC
rfam:Chlorocebus sabaeus isolate 1994-021 chromosome 8, whole genome shotgun sequence.